rnacentral:rRNA from 1 species
UAGCGUUGUUCGGAAUUACUGGGCGUAAAGCGCGCGUAGGCGGACCUGCAAGUCGGGGGUGAAAGCCCGAGGCUCAACCUCGGAACUGCCUUCGAUACUGCGGGUCUCGAGUCCGGGAGAGGUGAGUGGAAUUCCUAGUGUAGAGGUGAAAUUCGUAGAUAUUAGGAAGAACACCAGUGGCGAAGGCGGCUCACUGGCCCGGUGCUGACGCUGAGGCGCGAAAGCGUGGGGAGCAAACAGG